rnacentral:rRNA from 1 species
CAGCAGCCGCGGUAACACGUAGGGUGCGAGCGUUAAUCGGAAUUACUGGGCGUAAAGCGUGCGCUGGCGGUUGUGUAAGACAGGUGUGAAAUCCCCGGGCUUAACCUGGGAACUGCGCUUGUGACUGCACAGCUAGAGUAUGGCAGAGGGGGGUGGAAUUCCACGUGUAGCAGUGAAAUGCGUAGAGAUGUGGAGGAACACCGAUGGCGAGGGCAGCCCCCUGGGCCAAUACUGACGCUCAUGCACGAAAGCGUGGGGAGCAAACAGGAUUAGAUACCCCCGUAGUCCCUGUCUCUUAUAC